rnacentral:rRNA from 1 species
GAUGAACGCUGGCGGCGUGCCUAAUACAUGCAAGUCGAACGGGUAUAGCAAUAUACUAGUGGCGACCGGGUGAGUAACACGUAGCUGACCUGCCCCUCAGCGGGGGAUAACGUUUCGAAAGAGACGCUAAUACCGCAUACACUCGUCGGGACUAGAAGCCGAUGAGGAAACUUCAGGGGUUGAGGGAGGGGGCUGCGGCCCAUCAGGUAGUUGGUGAGGUAACGGCUCACCAAGCCAAUGACGGGUAGGGGGCCUGAGAGGGUGACCGGCCACACUGGAACUGAGACACGGUCCAGACUCCUACGGGGGGCAGCAGUGGGGAAUCUUCCACAAUGGGCGAAAGCCUGAUGGAGCGACGCCGCGUGAGCGAAGAAGGCCUUCGGGUUGUAAAGCUCUGUCUGGAGGGACGAAGGAAGUGACGGUACCUCCGGAGGAAGCCACGGCUAACUACGUG